AUCUGGAGUGGAUAUGGUGGCUGAAGUGGGACUCGACUUCGUGACCAAGGCAAACUCGUCUAUAUUCAUCCGGACUACUGGUCGCAACUUCUCAGUGUGAGAUUCUGGACUUGCAUGUUCAUGCAGCAGAGUUUCAGCCUUAUUCCAAGUCCGACUCUUUGUCCAUCGGACGCAGUGAACGCCUCACCCGAGCUGACAGUUCGAUGCCACAGUACUUGCACUUUUCUAUCAUCGAUGUUCCUGGGGCGUUGUUCAGCCUGUGGAUGGUGGAUGCAGCUCUCCCAGUCAUCGUUCGUGAAUAGUUCACAUUCUUAGCUCUGUGAUUCUGUGUGUACCCAGGAACAUGGAUCGGUGCCACCAGUUGUUCGUUAUUC
rnacentral:lncRNA from 1 species